AGCCUUAUAUUCUAUUUAAGAUAUAAAAUUGCAAAUUUUAAGAAAUAAAAUUUUUAUUAAGGCUU
rnacentral:tRNA from 1 species